GUGUGUGUGUGUGUGUGUGUGUGUGUGUGUGUGUGUGUGUGUGUGUGUGUGUGUGUGUGUGUGUGUGUGUGUGUGUGUGUGUGUGCUGUCACUACCCCAGAUGUGUGUGCUGUCACUACUCCAGAUGUGUGUGCUGUCACUACUCCAGAUGUGUGUGCUGUCACUACCCCAGAUGUGUGUGCUGUCACUACCCCAGAUGUGUGUGCUGUCUCUACCCCAGAUGUGUGUGUGUAUGUGCUGUCACUACCACAGAUGUGUGUGUGUGUGUGUGUGUGUGUGUGCUGUCACUACCCCAGUUCUGGCCCUGAGGCUCUGAGUCAUCUUUCUGCUAGAGGUCACCCUGGGUUGUUCACUUUUAAGGCGAAUUUCCUGCAAUUCAACACAUUUUGCCAUGGCUUAUGCUAUCUGAGUGCCGUGUCUUGACAUUUUGGGAAUGUCAGAUUCUCCCUGACUGUCUAGUUUUAUUUUGGUGAUUGUUAGUUCUCAAAGAUGAUCUUAUUAAAAUAUAUUGCCAUAUUAUCUUUUCUACAUAUUUUAUAUCUGGUUAUAGUCGUUUAAGUUUACACUGACAAUGUUUUACCAUCCCGAAAAUUAUAUACAUUUUAUAUCCGUAUAUGAAAGUAAAAAGACAUGAGAAUUUACCCCAAUCCUGCUAUCAAACUAUUAAACCAGGCUGACAACAGAAUCCCACAUGUGAUUAAUGAUUUUGUGAGUGUUCCAGGGUAACCCAGUGAUGUAAUGAUGUCGUGAGUGUUCCAGUGUAACCCAGUGUUGUAAUGAUUUUGUGAGUGUUCCAGGGUAACUCAGUGUUGUAAUGAUGUUGUGAGUGUUCCAGGGUAACCCAGUGUUGUAAUGAUGUUGUGAGUGUUCCAGUGUAACCCAAUGUUUCCCUAUAUUAAUUUAUCAUAUACAGUGCAUUCGGAAAGUAUUCAGACCCCUUGACUUUUUCCACAUUGUGUUACGUUACAGCCUUAUUCUAAAAUGGAUUAAAUAAAAAAAGAAUCUUCAUCAAUCUACACACAAUACCCCAUAAUGACAUCACAAUACCCCAUAAUGACAUCACAAUACCCCUUAAUGACAAAGCAAGAUGUUUCUUUGCAAAUGUAUUAAAAUAAAAAAACAGAAAUACCUUAUAAGUAUUCAGACCCUUUGCUAUGGGACUCAAAAUUGAGCUCAGGUGCAUCCUGUUUCCAUUGAUCAUCCUUGAGAUGUUUCUACAACUUGAUUGGAGUCCAUCUGUGGUAAAUUAAAUUGAUUAGACAUAAUGUGGAAAGGCACACACCUGUCUAUACAAGGUCCCACAGUUGACAGUGCAUGUCAGAGCAAAAAACAAACCGUGAGGUCGAAGAAAUUGUCCAUAGAGCUCCGAGACAGGAUUGUGUCGAGGUACAGAUCUGGGGAAGGGUACCAAAACAUUUCUGCAGCCUUGACGGUCCCAAAAACACAGUAGCCUCCAUCAUUCUUAACUGGAAGAAGUUUGGAACCACCAAGACUCCUCCUAGAGCUGGCUGGCCGCCCGGCCAAACUGAGCAAUCGAGGGAUAAGGGCCUUGGUCAGGGAGGUGACAAAGAACCCGAUGGUCACUCUGACAGAGCUCCAGAGUUCCUCUAUGGAGAUGGGAGAAUAGUCAGGAUGGAGGGAAAGAUAAACGUAGCAAAGUACAGAGAGAUCCUUGAUGAAAACCUACUCCAGAGUGCUCAGGAUCUCAGACGGAGGUGCCGCUGCUCAAAGAAUAUAGAGGAAACACUGGGUUACACUGGAACACUCACACCAUCAUUAAUCACAUGUUGUCAGCCUGGUUUGAUAGUUUGAUAGCAGGGUCGAGGGUCAAUUUCCAUUUAAUUCCAGUCAAUUCAGGAAGUACAUUCAAAUGUAUAUUCUCUUCAAUGCUUUUCAAUUGGAAUUUGGUUUUAUUUCUGAAUUGACUGGAAUUAAAAUGGAAUUGACCCCAACCCUGUUUGAUAGUGACUGUAUUGAUGUUGGGGCCAGGGUUUUGGUUUCAUUGAAUAUCUAAGAAGUCGUUAUUCCUUCUACACAAUAAAAUAUGACACAGACAGACAUACACUGGUUUUUUGAUUCAUCCUCUUUUCACUGAAUUUGUGAUAAAGGUAGUUAGAAUUGUGCUGUAGUAUUUCUGUGAUGGUCUGACACCUUGUCUAACUCUUCGGGGGACAGGAGACGUGAUGCUAUGCCUUCUCUCAUUAUGGCCAGUCUACACGACCUACCAUAUAGUUACCUAGUAGCUCCAAUCCCCCUAGUCCUUCACGGUGUGUCGGCCUCCCCUCUCUCCCACCACCACUAGCCCAUCCCCAGAUCCCAGUUUACAGGGAGCAGACAGACAUGUAUCUCUAAUGUAUCUGUAGCGUUGCCUUACGGGCUGAUCCUCUCCUUGUCUACCACUCUGUAAAAACAGCCAGUGAUGUGUCACACUACAAAGUCAAUGAGCUGUGUGAAAUACUGGAGGCACUCUGUUAAAGCUGCUGCUGCCACGCGCAACACACACACACACACACACACACA
rnacentral:lncRNA from 1 species